GAUGAACGCUGGCGGCGUGCUUAACACAUGCAAGUCGAACGAAGCACUCUACUUGAUCUCUUCGGAGUGAUUGUUUUGUGACUGAGUGGCGGACGGGUGAGUAACGCGUGGGUAACCUGCCUCAUACAGGGGGAUAACAGUUGGAAACGACUGCUAAUACCGCAUAAGCGCACAGGGUCGCAUGACCUGGUGUGAAAAACUCCGGUGGUAUGAGAUGGACCCGCGUCUGAUUAGCCAGUUGGUGGGGUAACGGCCUACCAAAGCGACGAUCAGUAGCCGACCUGAGAGGGUGACCGGCCACAUUGGGACUGAGACACGGCCCUAACUCCUACGGGAGGCAGCAGUGGGGAAUAUUGCACAAUGGGGGAAACCCUGAUGCAGCGACGCCGCGUGAGCGAAGAAGUAUUUCGGUAUGUAAAGCUCUAUCAGCAGGGAAGAAGAAAUGACGGU
rnacentral:rRNA from 1 species